CUUCUACGUGACUUUACCGAAAGAACCAAGAAUAUGAAUCCCUGCAGUCACGAAAGCUUUAAAUCAAAAAAGUAAUUGAUUUAUUAAGCUCUCUAUUAAUUUCAUUAAUCUCUAAAUGUUAUUGAAAUACAUUGCAUCUGCUUCAGCUUGUAUGUGCAGUAACAUAGCACUGACUGUUGUACAGCAGCCGCAACUACAGGUGAGCACUUAGCGCACACCCCGCUGAGCAUAUACGCGGGUAUGCCGGCAGGGUGGAGGAACUGGGGCAAGGGUCAUGGUAGACCUUAUGGGGAAGCCCCUGGAACCCUCUGGAGGGUUCCAGAAGGGAGGCGCGGCUAGGGCGGAGCCAAGCUGGGCCGAAGGGAAUAAAAGCGGCGGAGAGCGAGAGCUCCGGGCUGCCGGUUCUGGGAUUGGACUCGUCGCUGUCAUCGUCGCCGCCCUCUUCGCUGCUGCCUUUGCCCGAUCAUUGCGCGGCCGGACAGUGGUUGGCUGUCCCGGUCGACGCCGUCAGUGCAACGCGGACAGGGUCGUGUCUGGGACGGGUCGUGCGGCAGCGGGGUCGUGUGUGGGACGGGUCGUGCGGCAGCGGGGUCGUGUCUGGGACGGGUCGUGCGGCAGCGUGGUCGUGUCUGGGACAGGUCGUGCGGCAGCGUGGUCGUGAGAGAGAGGGGGGGAACCGAGUGGUGGCGUCAACUCAACGACAAUAAAAGGGGAGGACGGUGCCUCCUCCGACUACCUCGUCUCCGACUGAGUGUGUGUGCGAUGCACGCCACCCGCACGCACACACAAGCCUCGAGCGUCGAGAAGAGAGAACGAGCAGAAGAGACACACCGACACUGCAUAUGUAUGUGGAACUUCUUCCGCACCGUACGUAGCCAACCGUGCUAAUCGGAGGCUUGUGUCUUGCAGGGAUGACAGUUAACAUUUUUAAGCGAUGGUUAUGAUGGAGCAGUGAUGGCGGUAGAGAUGAUUAUGACUCGCAGGCCAUCUUAUUACUCCAAGAUGUAUAAUAGGAUAACCUAGUCUGAGAGAGGCAUAUACUUCCUUUAUUGUUUGUGAGUAGUUGUGGACAGGUUGACAGUGGUUGUGAGUGGUUGUGGACAGGUUGACAGUGGUUGUGAGUGGUUGUGGACAGGUUGACAGUGGUUGUGAGUAGUUGUGGACAGGUUGACAGUGGCUGUGAGUAGUUGUGGACAGGUUGGCAGUGGCUGUGAGUGGUUGUGGACAGGUUGACAGUGGUUGUGAGUAGUUGUGGACAGGUUGACAGUGGCUGUGAGUAGUUGUGGACAGGUUGACAGUGGCUGUGAGUAGUUGUGUUGUGACCGUGUUUGUGGACAGGUUGACAGUGGUUGUGAGUAGUUGUGGACAGGUUGACAGUGGUUGUGAGUGGUUGUGGACAGGUUGACAGUGGCUGUGAGUGGUUGUGGACAGGUUGACAGUGGCUGUGAGUGGUUGUGGACAGGUUGACAGUGGUUGUGAGUGGUUGUGGACAGGUUGACAGUAGUUAUGGGCAGGAUGAAGGUGGUUGUGAGUGGUUGUGGACAGGUUGACAGUGGCUGUGAGUGGUUGUGGACAGGUUGACAGUGGCUGUGAGUGGUUGUGGACAGGUUGACAGUGGCUGUGAGUGGUUGUGGACAGGUUGACAGUGGUUGUGAGUGGUUGUGGACAGGUUGACAGUAGUUAUGGGCAGGAUGAAGGUGGUUGUGAGUGGUUGUGGACAGGUUGACAGUGGCUGUGAGUGGUUGUGGACAGGUUGACAGUGGCUGUGAGUGGUUGUGGACAGGUUGACAGUGGUUGUGAGUAGUUGUGUUGUGACCGUGGUUGUGGACAGGCUGACUGAAGGUGGUUAUGAGUGGUUGUGCUGUGAUCGUGGUUGUGGACAGGCUGACUGAAGGUGGUUGUGAGUGAUUGUGCUGUGAUCGUGGUUGUGGACAGGCUGACUGAAGGUGAUUGUGAGUAUGUUGUGCUGUGAUCGUGGUUGUGGACAGGCUGACUGAAGGUGGUUGUGAGUGGUUGUGCUGUGACCGUGGUUGUGGAUAGGCUGACGGUGGUUAUGAGUGGUUGUGCUGUGACUGUGGUUGUGGACAGGCUGACUGACGGUGGUUAUGAGUGGUUGUGCUGUGACCGUGGUUGUGGACAGGCUGACUGAAGGUAGUUGUGAGUGGUUGUGCUGUGACCGUGGUUGUGGGCAGGUUAACGGUGGUUGUGAGUGGUUGUACUGUGACCGUGGUUGUGGACAGGCUGACUGAAGGUGGUUGUGGACAGGAUGACUAACGGUGGUUGUAAGUGGUUGUGCUGUGACCUUUGUUGUGGAUAGGCUGACAGUGGCUGUGAGUGGUUGUGGACAGGUUGACAGUGGUUGUGGACAGGUUGACAGUGGUUGUGAGUAGUUGUGGACAGGUUGACAGUGGUUGUGAGUGGUUGUGGACAGGUUGACAUUGGUUGUGAGUGGUUGUGGACAGGUUGACAGUGGCUGUGAGUGGCUGUGGACAGGUUGACAGUGGCUGUCAGUAGUUGUGGACAGGUUGACAGUGGUUGUGAGUGGUUGUGGACAGGUUGACAGUGGUUGUGAGUGGUUGUGGACAGGUUGACAGUGGUUGUGAGUGGUUGUGGACAGGUUGACAGUGGUUGUGAGUG